CAGAACGUGGCGAAGUCUGGCAUCGCGCGUGGCUGGGGGCCACGAGAUCGCCGGUUCAAAUCCGGCCGUUCUGA
rnacentral:tRNA from 1 species